rnacentral:tRNA from 1 species
GGUAGAAUGGCUGAGAUAUAAGGUGAUAGAUUGUAAAUCUAUUUAGGAGGUAUACCCCUCUUCUACCA